UGAGUUCGACCAGAAUGCCAGGGGCGACCAAGGGGAAGAACUCCAAACCUAGUUCUUGUUUAAAUCCACAAAUUGAAGGUCAAGAUCAGCCCUAAAACGAGAUCUGAACCCGGAUUAGUGAUCCCCAUUGAAAGGGGAGUCACAAGUUGACUCUAAACAAGCUAGGUGGGAGCUUGAAAAGGAACGAGUCAAACGGAUCAUGGAUGCGAAGAAUGUUUGCGCGGACGCGAGGGUAAAACGGCUUAUGGAAUUUACGUGGCUAUGAAUCAGCAAAUUAUUAAGGCAAGGUAUUAAAACGGGUCAAUACUUUGACCCGCGCCAGGUACGCGUAAAUUUGGUGAAAGAUAUGUGAAUACCUUAAUGUAGAAAAAUGACAUGUGAAAGUAGAGAGUAGGAUUUAAACUUA
rnacentral:lncRNA from 1 species